rnacentral:rRNA from 1 species
GUCUACGGCCAUACCAACCUGAAAGCGCAUGAUCCCGUCAGAUCUCAAAUGCAAUCAAGGGUAGGGCUUGUUCAGUACCAGUGUGGGUGACUGACUGGGAAUAGCAAGUGCUGUAGUCC